rnacentral:rRNA from 1 species
AACGAACGCUGGCGGCAUGCCUAACACAUGCAAGUCGAACGAGACCUUCGGGUCUAGUUGCGCACGGGUGCGUAACGCGUGGGAACCUUCCCUUAGGUUCGGAAUACCUCCCCGACAGGGGUGCUAAUACCGGAUAAUUUCUUCUGACCAAAGGUUUAUCGCCUUUGGAUGGGCCCGCGUUGGAUUAGCUAGUUGGUAGGGUAAAAGCCUACCAAGGCGACGAUCCAUAGCUGGUCUGAGGGGAUGAUCAGCCACACUGGGACUGAGACACGGCCCAGACUCCUACGGGAGGAAGCAGUGGGGAAUAUUGGACAAUGGGGGAAAGCCUGAUCCAGCAAGGCCGCGUGAGUGAUGAAGGCCUUAGGGUUGUAAAGCUCUUUUACCCGGGAUGAUAAUGACAGUACCGGGAGAAUAAGCUCCGGCUAACUCCGUG